rnacentral:rRNA from 3 species
AAAUUGAAGAGUUUGAUCAUGGCUCAGAUUGAACGCUGGCGGCAGGCCUAACACAUGCAAGUCGAACGGUAACAGGAAGCAGCUUGCUGCUUCGCUGACGAGUGGCGGACGGGUGAGUAAUGUCUGGGAAACUGCCUGAUGGAGGGGGAUAACUACUGGAAACGGUAGCUAAUACCGCAUAACGUCGCAAGACCAAAGAGGGGGACCUUAGGGCCUCUUGCCAUCGGAUGUGCCCAGAUGGGAUUAGCUAGUAGGUGGGGUAACGGCUCACCUAGGCGACGAUCCCUAGCUGGUCUGAGAGGAUGACCAGCCACACUGGAACUGAGACACGGUCCAGACUCCUACGGGAGGCAGCAGUGGGGAAUAUUGCACAAUGGGCGCAAGCCUGAUGCAGCCAUGCCGCGUGUAUGAAGAAGGCCUUCGGGUUGUAAAGUACUUUCAGCGGGGAGGAAGGGAGUAAAGUUAAUACCUUUGCUCAUUGACGUUACCCGCAGAAGAAGCACCGGCUAACUCCGUGCCAGCAGCCGCGGUAAUACGGAGGGUGCAAGCGUUAAUCGGAAUUACUGGGCGUAAAGCGCACGCAGGCGGUUUGUUAAGUCAGAUGUGAAAUCCCCGGGCUCAACCUGGGAACUGCAUCUGAUACUGGCAAGCUUGAGUCUCGUAGAGGGGGGUAGAAUUCCAGGUGUAGCGGUGAAAUGCGUAGAGAUCUGGAGGAAUACCGGUGGCGAAGGCGGCCCCCUGGACGAAGACUGACGCUCAGGUGCGAAAGCGUGGGGAGCAAACAGGAUUAGAUACCCUGGUAGUCCACGCCGUAAACGAUGUCGACUUGGAGGUUGUGCCCUUGAGGCGUGGCUUCCGGAGCUAACGCGUUAAGUCGACCGCCUGGGGAGUACGGCCGCAAGGUUAAAACUCAAAUGAAUUGACGGGGGCCCGCACAAGCGGUGGAGCAUGUGGUUUAAUUCGAUGCAACGCGAAGAACCUUACCUGGUCUUGACAUCCACGGAAGUUUUCAGAGAUGAGAAUGUGCCUUCGGGAACCGUGAGACAGGUGCUGCAUGGCUGUCGUCAGCUCGUGUUGUGAAAUGUUGGGUUAAGUCCCGCAACGAGCGCAACCCUUAUCCUUUGUUGCCAGCGGUCCGGCCGGGAACUCAAAGGAGACUGCCAGUGAUAAACUGGAGGAAGGUGGGGAUGACGUCAAGUCAUCAUGGCCCUUACGACCAGGGCUACACACGUGCUACAAUGGCGCAUACAAAGAGAAGCGACCUCGCGAGAGCAAGCGGACCUCAUAAAGUGCGUCGUAGUCCGGAUUGGAGUCUGCAACUCGACUCCAUGAAGUCGGAAUCGCUAGUAAUCGUGGAUCAGAAUGCCACGGUGAAUACGUUCCCGGGCCUUGUACACACCGCCCGUCACACCAUGGGAGUGGGUUGCAAAAGAAGUAGGUAGCUUAACCUUCGGGAGGGCGCUUACCACUUUGUGAUUCAUGACUGGGGUGAAGUCGUAACAAGGUAACCGUAGGGGAACCUGCGGUUGGAUCACCUCCUUACCUUAAAGAAGC